ACAAUUAGCUGUUGGGACACUAGAUGUCUUAGUAGCGAAGCUAACGCGUGAAAUUGUCCGCCUGGGGAGUACGGUCGCAAGAUUAAAACUCAAAGGAAUUGACGGGGACCCGCACAAGCGGUGGACGAUGUGGAUUAAUUCGAUGCAACGCGAAGAACCUUACCUGGUCUUGACAUGUACGGAAUCUCUUAGAGAUAGGAGAGUACCUUCGGGAACCGUAACACAGGUGCUGCAUGGCUGUCGUCAGCUCGUGUCGUGAGAUGUUGGGUUAAGUCCCGCAACGAGCGCAACCCUUGUCAUUAGUUGCCAUCAUUAAGUUGGGCACUCUAAUGAGACUGCCGGUGAUAUACCGGAGGAAGGUGGGGAUGACGUCAAGUCCUCAUGGCCCUUAUGACCAGGGCUUCACACGUCAUACAAUGGUCGGUACAGAGGGUAGCGAAGCCGCGAGGUGAAGCCAAUCUCAGAAAGCCGAUCGUAGUCCGGAUUGCACUCUGCAACUCGAGUGCAUGAAGUCGGAAUCGCUAGUAAUCGCAGGUCAGCAUACUGCGGUGAAUACGUUCCCGGGUCU
rnacentral:rRNA from 1 species